UCCGGCUUAACGCCGGCAGUCCCCCCAGAGUCCCCGCCUUGACGCGCUGGCAACUGGGAGCGGGGGUUGCGCUCGUUGCGGGACUUAACCCAACAUUUCUACGACAUUCCCGUGCAUGUCAAGCCUUGGUAAGGUUCUUCGCGUCGCGUCGAAUUAAACAACAUGCUCCGCUGCUUGUGCGGGUCCCCGUCAAUUCCUUUGAGUUUUAGCCUUGCGGCCGUACUCCCCAGGCGGGGUGCUUAAUGCGUUAGCUUCGGCACGGAGGGAAUCGACACCCCCCACACCUAGCACCCAUCGUUUACGGCGUGGACUAC
rnacentral:misc_RNA from 1 species